rnacentral:rRNA from 1 species
AUUGAACGCUGGCGGCAGGCCUAACACAUGCAAGUCGAGCGAGCGGCGGACGGGUGAGUUAUGUCUGGGAAUUGCCCAGUCGGGGGGGAUAACAGUUGGAAACGACUGCUAAUACCGCAUACUAGUGGAUUGCCCAGUGGGUUUUAGCUAGUUGGUGAGGGAAUGGCUCACCAGGUAGACGAUCCCUAGCUGGUCUGAGAGGAUGAUCAGCCACACUGGAACUGAGACACGGUCCAGACUCCUACGGGAGGCAGCAGUGGGGAAUAUUGCACAAUGGGGGAAACCCUGAUGCAGCCAUGCCGCGUGUGUGAAGAAGGCCUUCGGGUUGUAAAGCACUUUCAGCGAGGAGGCGUUACUCGCAGAAGAAGCACCGGCUAACUCCGUGCCAGCAGCCGCGGUAAUAC